rnacentral:lncRNA from 1 species
GUUUGUCUUUUUCAUUUUUCAUGUUUUUAGCCAUGGCGUUGUCAGUUUGUUUUAGAUUUAUGAGUUUGACUGUCCCUUUGGUAUCUUUCGUCCCUCUUUUAUACUACAUCUCCUUAUUUAUAUCUUAAACACAAUCAUUUAAUUGCAGUAUAUAUAACAGUGUUACCUGUCCUCAGUUCUAAAUACUUUUUGACGUAUGACCAC